UUUCCGUAGGUGAACCUGCGGAAGGAUCAUUAUUGUAUAACCGAGGUGCGAGGGCUGUCGCUGACCCGUAAGGCCGAGCAGGCCCGAGGGCCGUCACACACAUCCAUCUCACCCCUCUGUGCACCACCGCCUGGGUCCCCGGUUGGCUUGGUCGAAGCGGGGCUUACAGUUUCGCACACUCUUUGUUUGCAGAGUAGUAUGUAUUUUUAAUUUUUGCAAUCACACUAUCUAUAUAACUUCAAACAACGGAACCCUUGGCCCUCGCAUCGAUGCAGAACC
rnacentral:misc_RNA from 1 species